rnacentral:rRNA from 1 species
UACGUAGGUGGCAAGCGUUGUCCGGAAUUACUGGGUGUAAAGGGAGCGUAGGCGGGAUGUCAAGUCAGAAGUGAAAAUUAUGGGCUCAACUCAUAACCUGCUUUUGAAACUGAUAUUCUUGAGUGAAGUAGAGGCAAGCGGAAUUCCUAGUGUAGCGGUGAAAUGCGUAGAUAUCGAGAGGAACACUCGUGGCGAAGGCGGGUUCCUGGACAUUAACUGACGCUGAGGCACGAAGGCCAGGGGAGCGAAAGGG